rnacentral:rRNA from 1 species
UACGGGGGGGGCAAGCGUUGUUCGGAAUUACUGGGCGUAAAGGGCUCGUAGGCGGCCAACUAAGUCCGACGUGAAAUCCCCAGGCUUAACCUGGGAACUGCGUCGGAUACUGGAUGGCUUGAAUUCGGGAGAGGGAUGCAGAAUUCCAGGUGUAGCGGUGAAAUGCGUAGAUAUCGGGAGGAACACCAGUGGCGAAGGCGACUACCUGGCCUGUUCUUGACGCUGAGGCGCGAAAGCUAGGGGAGCAAACGGG